CAGCACAACUUUCGUGUCAAUUAUCCAUCGUGCCAAUAAGGUCACGAUCGUACACGAAGGGAGUCGGGAAAUGACGUAUUUCCGGUUGUGUCCGAGCCCACCUUCCUUGAUCUGAGGACUCACGGGCUCAAUCAUUUCGUCCGUGAUCAUCCAAUAAGUUGGAAGUGUCCGCGUUUGUCAGUUAUUAUUGCGAUUGUUCUAAACAACUAGGCAGAAAGUGUGCGUUUAGAUUUUGUGUGCGACAGUAGACAGAGAGAACCUAUAUCAAAGAUUGGCUUGAUAUCCUCCCACCCGCAGCAAACUAUCGCACCCAGGCGCGACGAGACCACCCCCCCUCAAACGGACGGAAUAUUCCUGGCAACUACCAGCCAGCCAGAAGCGGACCGAUCCGUUACCAUAUCGGUCUGGGAAGGCACGGGGACUUCCACGUGGACGAAGCCCACUAGCCGGUCCGUCAAACCGCCGGCAAGCAAUCGCCAUCGCGCCGCGUCGGCUUCAUUGAGAAGCAAUCACCAGCGUCAACAAGCCGGGAGCGUCGACCCCACCGGCAGGUCAUCGACUGGGUCAGUAAGCCCAUACAAACCGGUGAGUCAACAAACCUUUUUUUGAUUGGAGUGCGGCGUCCGAGGAGGGCGCCGCGGAGGAACGUUUUUUGUGCCA